rnacentral:rRNA from 1 species
AUGAAGAACGUAGCGAAAUGCGAUACUUGGUGUGAAUUGCAGAAUCCCGCGAACCAUCGAGUCUUUGAACGCAAGUUGCGCCUGAAGCCAUUAGGCUAAGGGCACGUCUGCCUGGGCGUCACGC